rnacentral:rRNA from 1 species
AAACCUAGCCAGUCUUUUGGGUAUGAAACCCCUUCGGGCGAGAGUGGUACUAGGAUGGGUGACCUCCUGGGAAGUCCACGUGAAAGGGUUC